UACAGAGGGUGCAAGCGUUAAUCGGAAUUACUGGGCGUAAAGGGCGCGUAGGUGGCCAACUAAGUCAGACGUGAAAUCCCUCGGCUUAACCGGGGAACUGCGUCUGAUACUGGAUGGCUUGAGUUUGGGAGAGGGACGCGGAAUUCCAGGUGUAGCGGUGAAAUGCGUAGAUAUCUGGAGGAACACCGGUGGCGAAGGCGGCGUCCUGGACCAAUACUGACACUGAAACGCGAAAGCCAGGGGAGCAAACGGG
rnacentral:rRNA from 1 species